GUAACCUACGGGGCGCAGCAGUGGGGAAUAUUGCACAAUGGGGGAAACCCUGAUGCAGCAACGCCGCGUGAGUGAAGAAGUCAUUCGUGAUGUAAAGCUCUAUCAGCAGGGAAGAAAAUGACGGUACCUGAGUAAGAAGCCCCGGCUAACUACGUGCCAGCAGCCGCGGUAAUACGUAGGGGGCAAGCGUUAUCCGGAUUUACUGGGUGUAAAGGGAGCGUAGACGGCAGAGCAAGUCUGAAGUGAAAGCCCGCGGCCCAACUGCGGGACUGCUUUGGAAACUGCCCGGCUAGAGUGCUGGAGAG
rnacentral:rRNA from 1 species